rnacentral:rRNA from 1 species
AUUGAACGCUGGCGGCAGGCUUAACACAUGCAAGUCGAGCGAGCGGCGGACGGGUUAGUAAUGUCUGGGAAACUGCCUGAUGGAGGGGGAUAACUACUGGAAACGGUAGCUAAUACCGCAUACUAUCAGAUGUGCCCAUAUGGGAUUAGCUAGUAGGUGGGGUAAUGGCUCACCUAGGCGACGAUCUCUAGCUGGUCUGAGAGGAUGACCGGCCAGACUGGAACUGAGACACGGUCCAGACUCCUACGGGAGGCAGCAGUGGGGAAUAUUGCACUAUGGGCGCAAUCCUGAUGCAGCCAUGCCGCGUGUAUGAAGAAGGCCUUCGGGUUGUAAAGUACUUUCAGCGGGGAGGCGUUACUCGCAGAAGAAGCACCGGCUAACUCCGUGCCAGCAGCCGCGGUAAUUC